GCUUCAUCAAGUCUGCCAGGGAUUACAUGAAGACAAAGAAGCAAAUGAGACUGCCUAAGUCCACAGAAGUACAAGAUGUUUCAACAACCCACCUGCCAAGUUCCUUACAAACUGUGCACAACUGUACAUAGAAGAAUUGAUGCUGUUUUGAAGUGAAAGGCUGGUCACAUCAAAUAUUUAUUUGACUUACUUUCUUCUUCUGUGCACUUACUUUGCAUGUUAUUAAUUGAUAAAAAAAAUUAUUUAUUGAUAGUGAUGUCCCGAACGGUUCGCCGAACGGUUUGCGAAUGGUUCGCCACGAACGGUUCGCCAUGGACUCAUUAUUG